GGCUCAGAUUGAACGCUGGCGGCAGGCCUAACACAUGCAAGUCGAACGGUAGCACAGAGAGCUUGCUCUYGGGUGACGAGUGGCGGACGGGUGAGUAAUGUCUGGGAAACUGCCUGAUGGAGGGGGAUAACUACUGGAAACGGUAGCUAAUACCGCAUAACGUCUUCGGACCAAAGUGGGGGACCUUCGGGCCUCACACCAUCGGAUGUGCCCAGAUGGGAUUAGCUAGUAGGUGGGGUAAUGGCUCACCUAGGCGACGAUCCCUAGCUGGUCUGAGAGGAUGACCAGCCACACUGGAACUGAGACACGGUCCAGACUCCUACGGGAGGCAGCAGUGGGGAAUAUUGCACAAUGGGCGCAAGCCUGAUGCAGCCAUGCCGCGUGUAUGAAGAAGGCCUUCGGGUUGUAAAGUACUUUCAGCGGGGAGGAAGGCGAUAAGGUUAAUAACCUUGUCGAUUGACGUUACCCGCAGAAGAAGCACCGGCUAACUCCGU
rnacentral:rRNA from 1 species